rnacentral:lncRNA from 1 species
UCUCAUACUCUUCGUCGGACUCAUGACCAUCAUCUUUGAUCGGUGCACUACCUCCAAACUCAUAUUGGGGAUACUCAUUGACUUGCACUUCUACUUUAUGCUCAACAAUAGGUGCCACACCAUUAUACGGGCUCAAAUCAUCUACUAUGGGCUGGUUCAAGUCAACAUGAAGAGGAGCAUUGACCACCGUACUAGCAAACACUUCGAGUGACUUGUCUAUCGAGGAUGCAACAGCCUCCUUGUAUGCAACCCAAUGCAAAUUAGACUUGAUAGGCAUUGUCUUC